ensembl:lncRNA
AUGUCUAAUGCAGAUGACUGUCUUUUGUGGCUUUUCAUUACUGAAAUAUUUUCAGAUUUCCGGAAAAUUCACAAUGGUGCCGAUGGGAGUGUAUAUACAAGGACCUCUGAACAUACUUUUGAGUCCAGCAAUCUAGCCUUCUUUUUAAAUUUAGACUGCAUGAAUAAUUCACUACCAACAUCAUCCGGGGCUGUAUUAGAUCUGGAAUUUAUACGUUGAUCAGUUCUCAAGCCAGAUGGCUGUGAUUCAUCUCAACCUUUGAUGAUAUUUUAUAAAGAAAGGGAAACACAAGGAGUUCUCUCCGAGAUGAAGAAAGCACUAUGGAACAAACAGCAUCAGGAGCCCGUGGAGGCAGACUGACAACACAGCACGUUCUUGCAAAGGUCCUCAAGGAGCAUCAGUGAAAGGGUUUGGACCACAGAUACAGAGGACCAUGUGAAGUGGAGUCUGGAACCAUGGCUAAAAAUCUUCUCUGCCCACAUUUUCUUAUUCUGGAGUUCAUCUUAAUGAAUAAAUCUUAGCAUGUGUUGAACAUUUUCUACAAACUAAGUGCACUGGGCCUUUGUGACAGCAUUCUUAUAACCUUUCCAAAAGACAAGCUACUAUCAUCUCUAUUCUAAUGUGAGAAUAUGAAGGUUUUCGAGGCUUUGUAAUGUAGUCAAGGACCCACAGCUAGGGAAUGGCAGAACAGAAAUUCAGAACUAGGUCUUCCGGGCUCCAGAGCACUUUCCCACUCUGUUCCAGUGCCUUGGUGACUGAUGUUCAAAUAAGGAGAUAGUUUGGCAUGAGGAUAUGAGGACUCUGCAAUAUGGGAGAUUCAGCAUACGGACCCGAGAAGCGAAGUCAGGAGUUCUAGAGGAAUCACAACUUUCCCCAGCCUCUUCAUGGGGAUCAGAAGCUGUUCAGUAAGAUAUCCUGAUUAUGGGUAGACACUUGUGCUGCGAACCCUAGUGCAGUUUUCUAGCCCCAUCCAGUCGCACUGGGCGUCUCUUCUCUGUCUUCAUGAUCAACUUUCCUUCCUUGUUUUGUGAGAGCGGGUCAGCAGAAAAAGAGAAGAUGGGUUUUAUUCAGUUGGCCUUUAAGAGAAGGUCCAAUUAUACUUCAAAAGAAGCACUUGCAUAAUAAAAAGGAUCUUUCCCAUUUUAUGGGUAAGGAACCCAAAAAACAGUCAAGUCAGGGACUUGUUUAACUGCUUAGUAAGAGCCAUUAUCAGAACAAAGACAAAAGGAUAGGGACUCUAAAUGGUGCCAGAAAUUGUGCAUGCUGAAAAGCCUAGGGAUUUUCUUCUUCUUUUAAAAAAAUUUGGUAACAUAGACAUGAAAUUUACAUAAAAGUAUACAGUUCAGUGGUACUGAUUAUAUCCUCCCUGUUGUGCAAUGAACACCACUACCCAUAUCCAGAAUUCUUUUCAUUUUACAAAACCGAAACUCUGUAACCACGAAACCCUAGCUCCCCAUGCCCACCUCCCUCAGGCCCUGGCAACCAGCUUUCUACUUUUUAUCUUUAUGAAGUUGACUUCUCUGGCUACCUCAUAGACGUGGAAUCAUACAGUGUCUGUCCAUUUGUGACUGGAUUAGUCCACUUAGCCUAAUGUCCUCCAGGUUGAUCCACACUGUGGCACGGGUCAGAAUUUCUUUCCUUUUUAGGGCUGAGUAACAGUUCAUUGCAUGUAUAGAUCACAUUUGUUUAUCCAUUCAUUUCUUUCUUCUUUCUCGUAACCCAUGUGAAGAAUACAGUUGACCCUUGAAUGAUGCAGGGGCUGAGGGUGCCAAU